GAAAACUAGGAUAGUGUGAUAGGUGAUAGUGAUGUAAACGUAGAUGAUGUAUCUGGUCAUGUAAAUCCUCUGAGGAUAGCUUUUUAUUCUGUAAUGUGGGUAUUCGUAACGUGCUGUAAUGAAACUUUUGUUUUUUCGUUCAUACCCGAACUGUUCCUUCUUUAUUAUGAAUGAGGUGUUGAGACUGCUUUCUUCGUGGUUUUUUCUGAGAAAUCUGCGAUAUUGUUUUUUCCGUCUUGCCUUUUAAUUGAUCAGACCCAGAAUCGAUUUAGCUAGUCUGAGUUUUCAGUUUACUCUUUCCGAGCUGUACCAACCGACCUGCGAGCUCGCUUUCGGUUUACUUUAUCCAAGCGAGACUAACCAACCUGCGAGCUCUGUCUUUAAUCAAUGGGUCGAGCUCUGAGUUCCACUAGCCAACUGAGCUUUCGGUUUACUUUUUCCGAGCUGGGCUAACUGACUUGUGAGCCCUGCUUUUAAUCAAUGAGUUGAGCUUCUGACCCAUAACUUUGUAUGAUUCCGCGGCGUCCUUAUCGCUUCGUUCUGGGCUCGUAGCCUCUGCUUAAUGAUGAUGAGUCAAAUCCUAUACCUUUUUAAGUGAUAAGCAAGUCUGACCUUUAUCAUGCUUCCCCCUGUUUGUCUCCUUGGAUCUUUCUAUGACUUGCUCUUUUUCCUUAGUUUUUGCUGCCUGAGUGGCGAUGAUGUGCAUUUUGCAUGUCAGGUCGUCCUGAGCGAGAGAUUCAAUUGGAGCUCGGUCUCAAGGUUUUGACAAUUUGGGUUUGUUUUAUGUAGAUAGCGUGUGGG
rnacentral:lncRNA from 1 species